GGUAGUAGCAAAUAUUCAAAUGAGAACUUUGAAGACUGAAGUGGAGAAGGGUUCCGCAAGAACAGUGAUUGGUUGCGGGUUAGUCGAUCCUAAGAGAUAGGGAAACUCUGUUUCAAAGCAGCGCAUUUUUUCGCGCUCUCUAUCGAAAGGGAAUCUGGUUAACAUUCCAGAACUUAAGCUAGCAUGUUAAAGCGGCGACGCAAAAGAACUCGGUGACGUUGGCAAGGGGCCUGGGAAGAGUUUUCUUUUCUUUUUAACACGUAAACGACUGUGGAAUCGAUUUGCUCGGCGAAGCAGUUGCAUGCGUGGAAGAGCAGGACCAUUUUGGUCUUGUCCGGUGUCCUCUUAACGACCCUUGAAAAACCGAGGGAUUUUAUUAGUGUCUAGUUAAGUCGUACCCAUCACCGCAUCAGGUCUCCAAGGUGAACAGCCUCUAGUU
rnacentral:ncRNA from 1 species